GAGGAGGAGGAGGAGGAGGAGGAGGAGGAGGAGGAAGCAGGGGGUGACCUGCCCCAGCGCCAGGCGUGCAGCGGACGCCACGGGCCGAAGCCCCAGAGGAGAUGGUGGCCACAGGGGUCUGUCCCUGUGGUGGGGGGCUCAGGGCCAGCCCCUGGUGCUCCUGCAGCCCUGCUCUCCCCGCGCCGCGGUGCCAGCACUGCAGGACUGGCAGAGCCCGAGCAGCAGGAGAAACUCAUGUUUACAGGAGCACGAGGGCUGUGUUGUGGUUUUAUUUUGGAUUUGAUUUUUUUUUUUUUGGUACGUUUGUUUGUUUGGAACAUCAGCAGCAUGAGGAAGAAGGAGAAGAAGAAACGCAUCCCGCUUCCACUUUGAUUUGUAACCAGAAGCUGUGGGAUAUGGUUUGUGUGUCUGAUGGCACCUGGAGCCACUGUGGGGGUCCUGCCACCCCCUUUGACUCACAGCAGGGUCAGGCACAGUGCAGGGGACCCUGGUCCCCAAAUGCCUCCAGGCACUGCAGUGUAUUCCCCUACCAGUGGGGUCUGUCCCUAAUUCAGGGCGUGGAGGGGACCGGAGUCCUCUCCUCCCCAUUCUUAACUUUUUGUUUAAAAAGAAAACUUAAAGCAAAAAAACCCAACCCGAUCCCAAACCCACUCCCCCAACCUGCCACACCAGAAACCAACCCCAGGCCCUUGGCUUGGGCUUUUAGCCUGGAAGGCUCCAUUGUAAUAAAUGGUAUUUUCAAAGCCCAGCGUGGUCCCUGUGUGUUUGGGAGGGAGCGCCUGGACACAGCACAUCCUUGUGCCCUGCUUGGGGGGACACCAUCACCCCCCUUCCAGCGCUCCCGGGGUGGACAGGGACAGGGAAGCACUGCAGGAUCCAUCCAUCCAUCCAUCCAUCCAAACCCCUUGGACAAGGAGAGGUGGCUUUCCCGUCAGACUAACUCUGCAUGUCCCACCUGUGUCCCUGCAGGUCCACAGCCCCAGGGCUCUGCAGGGCUGCCAGGCAGGCCAGGAAGGACCCAAACCUCCGCUCGCCCUCCCCAGCUGGGAUGGGGAAGAGCCCAUCCCUGGCAGAGCCUGCAGCCGGAGGGAGCACAUGGGGAUGCUCCCGGUGCGUCCCCUCCCACUCCACCUUGCUCCUCUUCCCAGCCGGCCUCGCAGAGCACCUUGGAGCCUCUCGUUCCUCAUGCUCGCCCUCAGCCACGGAUGCAGGAGCGAGGUGGCAGCUCCAGCGAGCUCACCCUGGGUGUUCUCCCCCUCUGCAGCCCCAACGAGCAGGUAGGACCACGAGUUUCUUUCCCUUUCCUCUGCGGGCGCUCCCCGGUCCCGUGUGCCUCCCCCCGGCCAGGCCCCGAGCCCCCGUGUCCCAGCCCUCCAUCCUGCACGUGCCUGGCUCUGCAGGAGCUCCCUGCCCAGGUUUGCAUGCUCGGGAGGCACGAGGGGCUGCCCGGGACAGGACCUUUUGGUCCUGGUAGGGCCCCCCCAGAGCUCCUGCUUUUCGCACCCGCCCCAGCGCUACCAAUAAACCCCAGCUGCAGUGCAGGGGCUGGUGGGCAGCCCCAGGGGCUUUUUGGGGGCCAGCAGAGCCCCUCUUCUCACUUAAGCACUGCAUGGAUUUGCCACACAGCUACUGCAGCACACAGAGCCCUGGCUGGGUGGAGCCGGAGCAGCUCCGGCCCCGGGUCAGCGUCGCGUGGCCCCCCCUUAGCCCCGGGGUCCCACCCCCUGCUCGAGGGACAGAUUUCACCCUCCUGUUCUUGCAGGGAGCAGAGAGCACAGGACUCAUGGUGUAGGGGUUAAGGCAGAGGCCAGGUUGGCUGCUGAGGGCUUUUUCCCCCGGCAGAAGCAUCGCUGGUGGGGACCGUUCCCAGUGGGAUGCACGAAUUCCAUGGGCUGGGUCCUUGGCACCACAGGGAGCAGCUGCUGAGCAUCUGGUCCAGCUCCUUUGGUGCCCACUGAAACCCUGGCAGAGCACGGGGUGUGUGUGGGGGGGAAAAUAAAACCAGACAAGAAAUCAGGAGGAUUUUUUUUUUUAAAAAGUUAAUUCUUCCUUCAUAAAGAGAAAUGUAAAAACUGGAAAAUAAAGCAAACUGGCUGGGCCAGAGCUCUGUAUAAAACACACACAACCAUGCAUACCAAAAUACCAAUAUUUUUAUAUUAACUUUUAAGUUAACAUAUGUAAACAAUUGCUAAAUAAAUACAUAAAUACACAA